rnacentral:rRNA from 1 species
AUUGAACGCUGGCGGUAUGCUUAACACAUGCAAGUCGAACGGCAGCAUGGUCUAGCUUGCUAGACUGAUGGCGAGUGGCGGACGGGUGAGUAACGCGUAGGAAUAUGCCUUGAAGAGUGGGACAACUGGGGGAAACUCAAGCUAAUACCGCAUGUACUCGAGAGAGUAAAGCUGGGGAGCGUUAGGCCUGGCGAUUUAAGUUUCGCCUGCGUCCGAUUAGCUAGUUGGUAGGGUAAAGGCCUACCAAGGCGAGGCUCGGUGGCUGGUCUGAGAUGAUGAUCAGCCACACUGGAACUGAGGGACGGUCCAGACCCCUACGGGAGGCAGCAGUGGGGAAUAGUGGACAAUGGGGGGAACCCUGAUCCAGCAAUGCCGCGUGUGUGAAGAAGGCCUGAGGGUUGUAAAGCACUUUCAGUGGGGAGGAGGUUUGGAAGGUUAAGAGCUAUUCAAAUGGACGUUACCCACAGAAGAAGCACCGGCUAACUCCGUGCCAGCCGCCGCCGUAA